rnacentral:rRNA from 1 species
CCUACGGGAGGCAGCAGUAGGGAAUUUUCGUCAAUGGGCGCAAGCCUGAACGAGCAAUGCCGCGUGAACGAGGAAGGUCUUCGGAUCGUAAAGUUCUGUUGAAGGGGAAAAAGAGCGGAGAGAGGAAAUGCUUUCUGAUUGAUAUUACCCUUCGAGGAAGUCACGGCUAACUACGUGCCAGCAGCCGCGGUAAUACGUAGGUGGCGAGCGUUAUCCGGAAUGAUGGGGCGUAAAGGGUGCGUAGGCGGCCUGCUAAGUCUGGAGUGAAAGGUACCGGCUCAACCGGUACAGGCUCUGGAAACUGGCGGGCUAGAGAGCAGGAGAGGGCGGUGGAACUCCAGGUGUAGCGGUAAAAUGCGUAGAUAUAUGGAAGAACACCAGUGGCGAAGGCGGCCGCCUGGCCUGUUACUGACGCUGGGGCACGAAAGCGUGGGGAGCAAAUAGGAUUAGAUACCCUAGUAGUC